AUUGAACGCUGGCGGCAUGCCUUACACAUGCAAGUCGAACGGUAACAGGUCUUCGGAUGCUGACGAGUGGCGAACGGGUGAGUAAUACACCGGAACGUGCCCGAUCGUGGGGGAUAACGAAGCGAAAGCUUUGCUAAUACCGCAUACGAUCUACGGAUGAAAGCAGGGGACCGCAAGGCCUUGCGCGAACGGAGCGGCCGAUGGCAGAUUAGGUAGUUGGUGGGAUAAAAGCUUACCAAGCCGACGAUCUGUAGCUGGUCUGAGAGGACGACCAGCCACACUGGGACUGAGACACGGCCCAGACUCCUACGGGAGGCAGCAGUGGGGAAUUUUGGACAAUGGGCGAAAGCCUGAUCCAGCCAUGCCGCGUGCAGAAUGAAGGCCUUCGGGUUGUAAACUGCUUUUGUACGGAACGAAAAGACUCUGGUUAAUACCUGGGGUCCAUGACGGUACCGUAAGAAUAAGCACCGGCUAACUACGUGCCAGCCGCCGCCGUAA
rnacentral:rRNA from 1 species